AGCGAGUACACUGCAGAACACCGUGACCGGCGUAGAGGGACAUGGAGGGAAAAAAGUAGAAGGUUGAAAAAGAAGGCAUCUUUUGAAUCACGACCGACGAACGGCCAACAGACGACAUAGUUUGGAAACACCGGACCCACCGGACCCUUUCUAGUUGGUUGUAGGCUAUAGAGGCACCUGUCAGAACACAUGGAGGGGAAGUUUGCAGUGGUGCGGUGGAGUGAAGGGGAGGAUUUUGGGAAGCUCAGUGACAUAAAAACUGAUGCCAUAAGGGGGUAUGAUGAUUCCAAGAUGGACCAGGAUGGGAAUCCCUUUGCCACCUACUCAGCCGUAAUUGAAUGGCGCCAUGGGAAGAAACAACGAGGAGGCUGGCCUCACUACAGAGGCACUGUCAUUUUUGUUAGUGUGUGGGUGUUAAGAUAACAGCAAGGUAAAUCUCUCAGAGAUGAAAGCAGGAGCAGCUGUGUGGUGGAGUUUGCAAGGGUGGGGGCUACACUCCACAGAUACUGAUAAAUAACUACUUAACAGAAGGUUCUGGGUUCACUCAUCAAGAGGAAGCUUUGGGAUUCCAAAUGGUGACUGGGAAAUAUUUCUUCCAAGA